UGUGUAGGCGGUUGUUUAAGUUUGGUGUGAAAUCUCCCGGCUCAACUGGGAGGGUGCGCCGAAUACUGAAUGACUUCGAGUGCGGGAGAGGAGAGUGGAAUUCCUGGUGUAGCGGUGAAAUGCGUAGAUAUCAGGAGGAACACCGGUGGUGUAGGCGGCUCUCUGGACCGUAACUGACGCUGAGACACGAAAGCGUGGGUAGCAAACA
rnacentral:rRNA from 1 species